AGCCGGAUCCACGGUGACUAAUCUCCGGGAAGGCGUCCAGCGUGAGCCGUGAGGCCUGCACCUGCGCCGGACUUCACCACUCACCAGGAGUCUCUGCCCGCCGCCCCCAGCGCGGUUCUCUUCCCUGCUAGACGUAAAGUCCUGGGGACAAGCACAGCCCAGGGCACUUUCUGGAGAGAAGAUUUCGAUGGGGAAAGAUAAGAGAGCAUUUGGAUAUCUACGCACUGUCAACAGAAAUGAGGCUUCAGGCCAAGGCUUCUAAAAUGCAGGAUUCCCAAAGUGGCAGUCACAUAAGACGGGUCCCUCCAUCGCCUUCUAGAAUAUUGAGAAGAUCAUCACGCCUGGGACUGGCUCACAGCACUGAUCUUUUUCUUGUUAGCAGAGACUCCAGGAAGCAGAUGAGCAGACCUAUGGGCCUGCUAUGUGCACCGCGGCCCACACUGCCGCCUGCCUGGGAUCCUGCAUCACCCGAGUCUUCCUGCGGACCACCCUGGGUGGUGCACAUGCGGUCAUCAUUGUGCAAAGGAAGCUUUAGUUCUAUAAUGAAAGCCCCUUUAGUAAGUGAUGCUCCUUGAAGACUCGGUCAGCGUCUCGUUCACCUCUUUAUCCCCAGACUUAGCACAAUUCCAGCCCCAAAUCGGCAACGGACCUUUGACCAAGUGACAUGUCAGUGCUUCAGGGAGCUUCACUGAUCAGGACAGAAGUGAGUGACUGGAGGAAGGUGACCCGGAUGUCUGUAACCCCCAGAAAGGGUGAGAUGGCUGUUUUAUCAGCCAGCAUUGCCGAGUUGGUGGUGUGACGACAUCCUGUCUGACUGCUGGGCCUUACCGGUGUGUUCUCUGCUGGAGCCGUGACAGUUUGAGUUGAGGACAUUUUACAUCAAUCACUGAACUGCACGAAAGAUGGAAAUCCAGCAAGGGACCCCGUCGGACCUGAUUGACCGCAGAGCUACCUUUUGCUCUUUCUGGAUGCCACACGGCCUCCUCCUCCCACCUGUCCUUGGAGCUUGUGUUGGUCCACUUUCAUGCUGCUGAUAAAGCCAUACCUGAGACUGGGUAAUUUAUAAAGAAAAAGAGGUUGAAUGGACUCACAGUUCCACGUGGCUGGGGAGGCCUCACAAUCACGGCGGAAGUUGAAAGGCACGUCUUACAUGGCGGCAGGCAAGAGAGAAUGAGAGCCAAGCAAAGGGGGUUUCCCCUUAUAGAACCAUCAGAUCAGCUGGGCGCAGUGGCUCACUCCUGUAAUCCCAGCACUUUGGGAUGCUGAGGUGGGAGGAUCACAAGGUCAGGAGUUUGAGACCAGCCUGACCAAUAUGGUGAAACCCCAUCUCUACUAAAAAUACAAAAAUUAUCUGGGCAUGGUGGUGGGCACCUGUAGUCCCAGCUACUCGGGAGGCUGAGGCAGGAGAAUCGCUUGAACCUGGGAGGCGGAGGUUGCAGUGAGCUGAGAUUGUGCCACUGCACUCUAGCCUGGGCAACAAAGCGAGACGCUGUCUCAAAAAAACAAAAACAAAAACAAAAAAAACCAUCAGAUCUCAUGAGACUUAUUCACUACCAUGAGAACAGUAUGGGGGAAACCACCCUCAUGAUUCAAUUAUCUCUUGCUGGGUCCCUCCCUCAACACAUGGGAAUU
rnacentral:lncRNA from 1 species